UACGAGAGGCCCAAACGUUAUUCGGGAUUACUGGGCUUAAAGAGUCCGUAGGCGGCGCAGAAAGUAGGGUGUGAAAGCCCUCGGCUUAACCGAGGAAUUGCGCUCUAAACUACUGUGCUUGAGGAACCUAGAGGUGAGCGGAACUGAUGGUGGAGCGGUGAAAUGCGUUGAUAUCAUCAGGAACACCGGAGGCGAAGGCGGCUCACUGGGGGUUAUCUGACGCUGAGGGACGAAAGCCAGGGGAGCGAACGGG
rnacentral:rRNA from 1 species